UUGAACGCUGGCGGAAUGCUUUACACAUGCAAGUCGAGCGGCAGCGCGGGGGCAACCCUGGCGGCGUGCGGCGAACGGGUGAGUAAUACAUCGGAACGUACCCAGUUGUGGGGGAUAGCCCGGCGAAAGCCGGAUUAAUACCGCAUAAGUCCUGAGGGAGAAAGCGGGGGACCGUAAGGCCUCGCGCGAUUGGAGCGGCCGAUGUUCGAUUAGCUAGUUGGUGGGGUAAAGGCUCACCAAGGCGACGAUCCGUAGCGGGUCUGAGAGGAUGAUCCGCCACACUGGGACUGAGACACGGCCCAGACUCCUACGGGAGGCAGCAGUGGGGAAUUUUGGACAAUGGGCGAAAGCCUGAUCCAGCCAUGCCGCGUGAGUGAAGAAGGCCUUCGGGUUGUAAAGCUCUUUCGGCGGGGAAGAAAUCGCAUUCUCUAAUACAGGAUGUGGAUGACGGUACCCGAAUAAGAAGCACCGGCUAACUACGU
rnacentral:rRNA from 1 species